GUCAGUGUGGUGUAAUGGUUCGAGUGCUGGACUACCACUCUGGAGACCUGGGUUUGAUUCCCCACUAUGCCA